UGCCAAGUUAGACAUGGUUUAGGCUUUUGCACCUUCAAGCUUUACUCCUUCAUAUUAAAGCCUUUUAACUCAAAAUCUGCAGAUAUAUUCUUACAGAAAUGUUACUGUUAUUAAAAGAGAUGCAACUCUUGUCCUGAAGUUAUGAUUAGACUCAAACUAUCAAUGGUUGAUCUGCAUGUUACCAUUGAUUGGCCUAAUGAUAAAUGCUCCAAUUUGAGACACGGUUUAGGCUCCUGCAUCUUUAAGCUUUAAUCCUUCAUAUUAUAGCCUUUUAACUCAAUGUCUGCAGAUAUGUUUUUACAAAAAUAUUAACUGUUAGUAAAAAGGUGCAACUCUUGUCCCGAAUUUAUACAUGACUUUAAUAUCUUCAAAACAGAAGACAAUAGUCUAAUCAUAACUUCGGGACAAGAG
rnacentral:misc_RNA from 1 species